UACGUAGGGGGCUAGCGUUGUCCGGAUUUACUGGGCGUAAAGCGCGCGCAGGCGGCUCGUUAAGUAAGGUGUGAAAUCUCCCUGCUCAACGGGGAGGGAGCACUUUAGACUGGUGAGCUAGGGGACGGUAGAGGGGGGUGGAAUUGCUGGUGUAGCGGUGAAAUGCGUAGAGAUCAGCAGGAACACCCGUGGCGAAGGCGGCCCCCUGGGCCGAACCUGACGCUGAGGCGCGAAGGCUAGGGGAGCGAACGGG
rnacentral:rRNA from 1 species